rnacentral:rRNA from 1 species
GACGAACGCUGGCGGCGUGGAUUAGGCAUGCAAGUCGAACGGUAUCAUCCUUUCGGGGGUGAGAGAGUGGCGAACUGGUGAGUAACACGUAGGUUAUCUACCCUCAAGACGGGGACAACCCAGGGAAACUUGGGCUAAUACCGGAUGUGAGCAACUUUUAGUUGUUUGAAAGGUGGCGUAAGCUGUCGCUUGGGGAUGAGCCUGCGUCCUAUUAGUUAGUUGGUGAGGUAACGGCUCACCUAGGCAAUGAUAGGUAGGCGGCCUUAACGGGUGGUCGCCCACACUGGGAUUGAGAUACGGCCCAGACUCCUACGGGAGCAGCAGUCGAGAAUAGUCUACAAUGGUCGGAAGACUGAUAGUGCGACGCCGCGUGAACGAUGAAUCCCUUCGGGGUUAAAGUUCUUUUAUAUGUGAGCAGUGCUUCUUAUAUUAACAGUAUGGGGAAGAGAUAUUAGCAUAUGAAAUAAGCAACGGCUAACUCCGUGCCCAGCCAGCCCGCGGUAAGA